AUUGAACGCUGGCGGCAGGCCUAACACAUGCAAGUCGAACGAGUGGCGGACGGGUGAGUAAUGUCUGGGAAACUGCCUGAUGGAGGGGGAUAACCACUGGAAACGGUCGCUAAUACCGCCUACCUUCGGAUAUGCCCAGAUGGGAUUAGCUAGUAGGAGGGGUAACGGCUCACCUCGGCGACGAUCCCUAGCUGGUCUGAGAGGAUGACCAGCCACCCUGGAACUGAGACACGGUCCAGACUCCUACGGGAGGCAGCAGUGGGGAAUAUUGCACAAUGGGCGCAAGCCUGAUGCAGCCAGGCCGCGUGUAUGAAGAAGGCCUUCGGGUUGUAAAGUACUUUCAGCGGGGAGGCGUUACCCGCAGAAGAAGCACCGGCUAACUCCGUGCCAGCAGCCGCGGUAAUAC
rnacentral:rRNA from 1 species